rnacentral:rRNA from 1 species
AUUGAACGCUGGCGGCAGGCCUAAUACAUGCAAGUCGAACGGUAACAUAAAAGGAAGCUUGCUUCUUUUGAUGACGAGUGGCGGACGGGUGGGUAAUAUUUGGGAAACUACCUGAUAGAGGGGGACAACAGUUGGAAACGACUGCUAAUACCGCAUAUAGCCUGAGGGUGAAAGCAGCGAUGCGCUAUCAGAUGUGCCCAAACGGGAUUAGCUAGUAGGUGAGGUAAAGGCUCACCUAGGCGACGAUCUCUAGCUGGUCUGAGAGGAUGAUCAGCCACAUUGGGACUGAGACACGGCCCAG